rnacentral:lncRNA from 1 species
UACUUUGUGACCCUCUGUGUGGGGGUUGUGGGAGGAAUGACAAUUUCUCAUGACUAGAUUUGUGGGCUCUCGUGACAAGGAUGAGUUCAUGGGCAUCUCAGCAAGGGAGGCACAGGCUAGAGACCACUCUCUUCCCUACUGCAACUCCUCAAAAACCCUGGAGAGUAGCUAUGACCAGGCGGGAGAACGGCCAGCCCUUCUACCUUGGGGCACCUAAAGAAGCAUGUAGAUCCCAACCGUCAAGUAAGGAGCCACAGCAGACUUCCGAUGUCUAUUUGAGGAGUCUGCCUGGACAACCCAAGGAGUCUGCUGGACAGGCUGAGCUCUGUUCUGUCAUAGCCUAAGCUACCCCAGCUGUUGUGAGAAGAUACAGAGGGAAGGGGAG